rnacentral:piRNA from 1 species
UGAUUCUUUGGUCUCUUGUUCAUACUUACA